UGGAGGUUGAAACGGUGACGACUUGUUUAAUGUUUUUAUUUUAUUUUUUUUUGACAGUUUUUACAAUUUGCAAUACAAAAAUGGUGCGUACUGCUAAGAGUGAGUUGAUAUGGAAUUAUUUUGACGACAUCGUGGAAGGUGUUGCAGUGUGCAAAAUAUGCCGGUAGAGCCUACGAAACAACCGCAGUUUCAAUUUGCGUCAACAUAUGCGCAAGUUCCACUCAAUUGAUACUGAAGUUCGCGAUUCGAAUGGGCUGCAGGUACUCUUCAUCGCGACCAUAUGACGAAGAGCAAAUAUCCGCUGUGUUUAAGACGGCCAAACGCAGAAUGCAUUAAAAUCAACAAGAUAUACGGGCCAAGGAGGGUAAUAUGCAUCGAAAGGAAUGGAAAAGCAAAGAACCCUUGACUGUUGUGACAGCAUGUCCUGUUAGGUUAUACCAUAAACAGCCUUAAAUAAACAUACGCCAGCACAACCGCAUACGACACUCACAAAUGCAUGCGCAGCCGAACAAAAGCGGCAUACAUAAAUGAUGAUCACCUCAGGUAGAUCAAAAACAAAACCGCAUGCCGUGAAGCGUGAUUUGUUGCCACGGGCUAUUUUAUAUGCUAGAGAGCGCUGCAAAUAAACGGUUACAUAAAGGUUCGGAAAUGGAUAUUUCGAUGUGUUGCAAACGGAAUGGCAAAAUUAAUAUACCCCCAUCAUUUAUUUGGCUAGUUUUCUGUACCUGAACACUGGCUGUUGCACUGAAUCUUCAUUAAUUAAAAGAAAUAAAAAAUAUAAAAUCAAUAAACAAUAUUUUUAUAUUUUA